rnacentral:rRNA from 1 species
AUACGGAGGGUGCAAGCGUUGUCCGGAUUUAUUGGGCGUAAAGAGCUCGUAGGCGGCUCAGCAAGUCGGCCGUGAAAGCCUGAGGCUCAACCUCAGGACGCCGGUCGAAACUGCUGUGGCUAGGGUUCAGUAGAGGAGAGUGGAAUUCCCGGUGUAGCGGUGAAAUGCGCAGAUAUCGGGAGGAACACCAGUAGCGAAGGCGGCUCUCUGGGCCGACACCGACGCUGAGGAGCGAAAGCUAGGGGAGCAAACAGGAGUAGAAACCCCAGUAGUCC